rnacentral:rRNA from 1 species
AGCGAACGCUGGCGGCAGGCCUAACACAUGCAAGUCGAACGAACCCUUCGGGGUUAGUGGCGGACGGGUGAGUAACACGUGGGAACGUGCCUUUAGGUUCGGAAUAACUCAGGGAAACUUGUGCUAAUACCGAAUGUGCCCUUCGGGGGAAAGAUUUAUCGCCUUUAGAGCGGCUCGCGGCUGAUUAGCUAGUUGGUGAGGUAAUGGCUCACCAAGGCUACGAUCAGUAGCUGGUCUGAGAGGAUGACCAGCCACAUUGGGACUGAGACACGGCCCAAACUCCUACGGGAGGCAGCAGUGGGGAAUCUUGCGCAAUGGGCGAAAGCCUGACGCAGCCAUGCCGCGUGGAUGAUGAAGGUCUUAGGAUUGUAAAAUCCUUUCACCGGUGAAGAUAAUGACUGUAGCCGGAGAAGAAGCCCCGGCUAACUUCGUGCCAGCAGCCGCCGUAACAC